GAGAAUUAUGAAACAACAGGAAGAAAAACAGGGCUCACAAUGGAAAGCAAGACUCAGUCUGAACAGCUGAGAUGUCUCAGCCUCUCCAUGAUGAGCCCUAUUUUGAAAACAAUCAAUGGAAAGAAAUUGGGAGGUGUUGACAGCCAACAGGAGGUGUAGUCAGCCCGCCCACUCGAGGUAUCUCGCUGAGGUGCUGCUGCUGCUCGGGUCCCGGAGUUCAGGAGGAGGAUGAGCAAUCCCUACGCCUACCGCAGCCGUCAAUGGACGGGAGGCGCCCGGAGCCCAAACGAGGCACCUGGAGGGUGCUGACAUCCCACUUCCCAAUGCCUGAGCUCAGCUUAGUGGAGGAAGAAGGAGGAAAGGAGAAGAGACACCAAAGGAAGGAGACAGAGACAGACGCGGAGUUCCGUGUUUGCAUUUGGUGCUGGAGAAAAGCAGAGCCUCAGGGUACCCAGGGCUUGCAUAAUUUGCCUUCCCGCCCCUGGCACUGGCAGGGAAAACGCUUUCCAAGGAUGAGUAAAACCCUGGCGGAGCCAGCGGCUCAGGGAAAGGCAGGGAAGGUGUCACCUGGGGAGCAGGCGUUGGAUGGGACCUGCCAGGCUUUCCCUGGGAACCACACCCCUCUGCCUGUCUCUCCGUCAGAGGGAUUCCCCCAGCCCCUCACCACCCCCUUCAUCUCUCCCACUGCUGGCAGGAUCUGGCAGGGAGGAGAGGAUGGGGAAGGGGGACGGGGACGAGCGUGCAGGCACGGGCAGAGGGCAGAGCCCAGCCCCUGACAGCGGCUGGCUCCGGCUGUGCCUUCCUGCCCCGUGCUUCCAGCUGAAGGAGGAGGCAAAGGCGUUUCGCAUCCCUGCGGAUGUGCGGCUCGAGCAGGAUUCGAAGGGAAAAGGCAAGGCUGGGGGCACCGAUUUCCCAGCACUUUCCCGUUCCCGCAUCAGGUGGGGAGGAGGGGAUGCAGCCUCCCCUGAUCAUACUGCCAUGCAUUUCUCCCCCACCCCAACCCCCAAGUUUAGGGUAGAACGGAACAAUUUCCUUACACUGGCAACCAUCCAUUAUGUCUAUGGAUCUGCUCCCCACCCCAUUCCCCCUCUCUUUCCUGUUUUGAUGAAAGGAAAAAAUGUUCUGCUUUCCUUCUUUAUUUUUCCAGACUGGUGAAUAGCACUCGAAAGGAAUUUCUCUCCCUACCCCCUUCCCCUCUCCCAGUAUAAUAAAUACACACGUACUUGUGUGUGAACACAGCACACAUCGCAGGUCAUCUGCUGUUUUUCAAAAGGCAUACACUAUUUUUGUUUCCAGAUUGAUUCUGUGGGCAGCAGUCCCCCUUUCCACUGGCACCACCCCAAGCACUGCUUCCCCUGCCCCUGCCCUCUGCCACUCACCGUGUCCCCAUCCUUUGCCCCCGGGCCGGCAGCGAGCGGUGGUGGCGGCGGCAGCAGCGGCAGCAGCGAGAAGGAAGCUUUGCUGAGCUGGAGUAAAAAUAGCCCCAGCAGUUACUCAGCUCAGAACGUAACAUGACUCAUGUGAAACGAGGAUGAGGGUCGAAAACCAAAAGCAAGCAGCUCUCCCCCCCCAUCCCAGCCCCCACCACCUGCUGCUGCUGCUCACAUCACCCAGCAAAACCCGCUCAAAGUGCUCCUGGCUGGGGGUCAGGGCAUCAGUGGAAAGCCCUGCUUGUGCUACCUGCAAGAACCAGUCCUCCUGCCUGCACCCAUCUGGUGGUGCUGACACCAGCAGCAGGCAGAUUUGGUGGUGCUGCAGCCGACUCUCAGCUCCUUUAGCCUCCCUUAAACUGAGCAAAACUGACAUCCCCUGACACAGUGGGACCAAACACUGCAGCAGCCUCGUACCAAUGCAGCCGGGCACCCCAGCUGAGCCUGGAGAGAUGAGGGAGGUCCUGCCCACCAGAGCCCACCCUGCAGCCCACCCCGUCACUGGGUGCCCCAUGGCCAGGUGUGGGGCACAGCUGGGCUGGGUGGGAGAGCAGCACAGCAGGCCUGGCUGGCCACCACUAUCUUGUGGCCUGUGUAAUAAAGGAGGGAGUUUAAAAAUAGACUUUGAGCUGCAAUGCCGGAAAGGCAGCGAGACGUAUAGAGCGGGUGUGUGUUUAUCCUACACACCCUGUGCCUGCCAGGGGAGCUGCCCCAAAGCACAGGCACUGCUCUCUGCUCAGGGACUGCCUGGCCUGGCAGUGCAGGGCUGAGGGGAGCCCUGAGCUCUGCCUCACAGCUGCCAGAGCUGCCCAGAGAUGCCCACCUCCAUCCCAUCCCAAAGCCAUUUGGAACUGUGGGACAUGCACCUCUCCCCCAUGCCAGCCCUGCAUGAUGUGUGGCUCCUCCACCCCCCUGUAUAUCCAGACAAAGUGGCAUCUCUCAGGACAAAGCCUUUCAAUAGAUCCCCUGCCCUCUGCCCUCUGCUGAACAAUGAGAAAUCAAGGAAUAUUGUCCGAGUUGAAUAAAAAGAUCUAAAUUUA